rfam:Arcobacter sp. LPB0137, complete genome.
GUAGAAGUAUGGUGUGCAGCCUUUCAUUGUGUUUAGGCUCCUAAAGUAUUUCUCUUACGUGCAGUUAUUGGCUUUUCAGGGCCAAAUUUAUGGUUAACGGCUACUUGGAA